UACGUAGGGGGCAAGCGUUGUCCGGAUUUAUUGGGCGUAAAGAGCUCGUAGGCGGUUCGGUAAGUCGGGUGUGAAAACUCUGGGCUCAACCCAGAGCCGCCACCCGAUACUGCUGUGACUUGAGUUCGGUAGGGGAGCGGGGAAUUCCUGGUGUAGCGGCGAAAUGCGCAGAUAUCAGGAGGAACACCAGUGGCGAAGGCGCCGCUCUGGGCCGAGACUGACGCUGAGGAGCGAAAGCGUGGGUAGCAAACAGG
rnacentral:rRNA from 1 species